GACGAACGCUGGCGGCGUGCUUAACACAUGCAAGUCGAACGAUCAGGCCAGCUUGCUGGUGGAUUAGUGGCGACCGGGUGAGUAACACGAGGGUGAUCUUCACCAACCUUUGGGAUAAGCCUGGGAAACUGGGUCUAAUACCGAAUAUGACCGAUACUCGCAUGGGUGUUGGUGGAUAGCUCCGGCGGGUUGGGAUGGGCCCGCGGCGUAUCAGCUUGUUGGUGGGGUGAUGGCGUACCAAGGCGACGACGGGUGGCCGGCCUGAGAGGGCGACCGGCCACCCAGGGACUGAGGCACGGCACAGGUUGCUAUGGGAGGCAGCAGUGGGGAAUAUUGCAGAAUGGGCGCAAGCCUGAUGCAGCGACGCCGCGUGAGGGAUGACGGCCUUCGGGUUGUAAACCUCUUUCGCCAGGGACGAAGCGAAAGUGACGGUACCUUGAGAAGAAGCACCGGCCAACUACGUG
rnacentral:rRNA from 1 species